rnacentral:rRNA from 1 species
GACGAACGCUGGCGGCGUGCUUAACACAUGCAAGUCGAACGGUAAGGCCUUCGGGUACACGAGUGGCGAACGGGUGAGUAACACGUGGGUGAUCUGCCCUGCACUUUGGGAUAAGCCUGGGAAACUGGGUCUAAUACCGGAUAGGACUACGCACUGCAUGGUGUGUGGUGGAAAGCUUUUGCGGUGUGGGAUGGGCCCGCGGCCUAUCAGCUUGUUGGUGGGGUGAUGGCCUACCAAGGCGACGACGGGUAGCCGGCCUGAGAGGGUGUCCGGCCACACUGGGACUGAGAUACGGCCCAGACUCCUACGGGAGGCAGCAGUGGGGAAUAUUGCACAAUGGGCGCAAGCCUGAUGCAGCGACGCCGCGUGGGGGAUGACGGCCUUCGGGUUGUAAACCUCUUUCAGCACAGACGAAGCGCGAGUGACGGUAUGUGCAGAAGAAGGACCGGCCAACUACGUGCCAGCAGCCGCCGUAA